rnacentral:misc_RNA from 1 species
AACUUUUGGCAAUGGAUCUCUUGGUUCUCGCAUCGAUGAAGAACGCAGCGAAAUGCGAUACGUAAUGUGAAUUGCAGAAUUCAGUGAAUCAUCGAAUCUUUGAACGCACAUUGCACUCCUUGGUAUUCCGAGGAGUAUGCCUGUUUCAGUAUCAUGAGCACUCUCACAACUAACCUUUGGGUGAAAUUGUGGAAUUGGAAUGCGCUGAUUUUAAUAAUCAGCCCUUCUAAAAUAUAUUUCAUGACUGUCACCUAACACAGCAGUUUGGCCUAAUAGUUUUGACAUUGAUUUGUCAAAUCUUUGGCUUACAUUUGCUUCAGGUUGUCAGUUUUGAUAAUACAGAAAACUCAUUCAAAUUUUGAUCUGAAAUCAGGUAGGGCUACCCGCUGAACUUAAGCAUAUCAAUAAGCGGAGGCU